AAUGAAACAGCUGGAGGACAUCAGUAGAAGUUAAAAAAAAUCUGUUGGAGUGGGGAUCACUGUUGGAAGAACAUCUGUCGUCUUACUAAUCACAUAUAUUUAAGGGAACGGAUUCAUUAAACUUCAAGAGAGCUGAAGAAGUACUACAGCAAACGUAAGACUCAGUGAUUUCUGGCAAAUAUUUUCCCUGUGCAAACUAAUCAAAAUGGCGAAAUACUUGGCAUUCCUGCUGUUUCUCACUUUAAGCGCUACAGUUUAUGCAGGAGAAAUCCAACGGUUCUUUCGAAUGUUUACCGAAGUUGGAUGUGCAAAGACUCAUACUUCCAUGGACAUCGAUGAGCCCAUGCUCAUCUGUGGUCAGUGUGUUAGGAUGAUACUUAAUGUGAAGAAAGUUAACGAUCCUUUGUGUGCAGGUAUCGAAUAAUCACUCUCCAUUCCCCAGGACGUUGAAGAAUGGUUAGAUAAGGAUGUGUUCUGUAUUUUCCAAAAGAGAAAAAUGAAUGGAAAAAUAUUUAAAAGGAGACUCAGAUUUUGAAUUAAUGUAAACGAUUAUAAAUAAAAUAUUUUAUUUGAA